AUACAGAGGGUGCGAGCGUUAAUCGGAUUUACUGGGCGUAAAGCGCGCGUAGGUGGCUAAUUAAGUCAAAUGUGAAAUCCCCGAGCUUAACUUGGGAAUUGCAUUCGAUACUGGUUGGCUAGAGUAUGGGAGAGGAUGGUAGAAUUCCAGGUGUAGCGGUGAAAUGCGUAGAGAUCUGGAGGAAUACCGAUGGCGAAGGCAGCCAUCUGGCCUAAUACUGACACUGAGGUGCGAAAGCAUGGGGAGCAAACAGGGUUAGAUACCCUGGUAGUCCAUGCCGUAAACGAUGUCUACUAGCCGUUGGGGGAUUUGAUCCUUUAGUGGCGCAGCUAACGCGAUAAGUAGACCGCCUGGGGAGUACGGUCGCAAGACUAAAACUCAAAUGAAUUGACGGGG
rnacentral:rRNA from 1 species